rnacentral:rRNA from 1 species
GACCUGCGGAAGGAUCAUUUACCAAACGGGAGGUCCGGCAACCGCAAGGAAGUUCCCCCCCACACGAGUUCAUCACCCUUGUCUUUGAGCACCUUUUGGUUCCUCGGGGGGUUUGCCCCCCAACGAGGACCCCCAUAAACCCUUUGUAAUAGCAAUAAGAGUCUGAAAAACAACCAAUAAUAAAAAUUUUAACCAAUGGUUUUGUGGGUUUUGGCUUGGAGAAAGAAGGAAGGGAAAGCGAAAAAGUAGUGGGAAUGGCAAAAUUCAAAGAAUCUUAAAAUUUUAAAACGCCCAUGCCCCCCCUGGGUAUCCCAAGGGGCAUGCCCGUUCGAGGUUCAUUGUACCCUCCAACCUUAGGUUGGGAUUGGGGUCUUGUCUCGCGUUUCGCGGGGUGCCUCCCCUCAAAGUCAGGGCACCGCGCAUCUGGCCGGGAGGAGAGCAGCACAGACGCGCUCUUGGCAAAGACGGAUAGGCUCCACAAAACCUUAUUCAACCACUGACCUCGGAUCAGUAGGAACCCCAAUUC